rnacentral:rRNA from 1 species
UACGUAGGGUGCAAGCGUUAAUCGGAAUUACUGGGCGUAAAGCGUGCGCAGGCGGUUGUGCAAGACAGGUGUGAAAUCCCCGGGCUUAACCUGGGAACUGCACUUGUGACUGCACAGCUGGAGUGCGGCAGAGGGGGAUGGAAUUCCGCGUGUAGCAGUGAAAUGCGUAGAUAUGUGGAGGAAUACCGAUGGCGAAGGCAGCCUCCUGGGCCAACACUGACGCUCAUGCACGAAAGCGUGGGGAGCAAACAGG